rnacentral:rRNA from 1 species
AGUGAACGCUGGCGGUAGGCCUAACACAUGCAAGUCGAACGGCAGCACAGUAAGAGCUUGCUCUUACGGGUGGCGAGUGGCGGACGGGUGAGGAAUACAUCGGAAUCUACUUUUUCGUGGGGGAUAACGUAGGGAAACUUACGCUAAUACCGCAUACGACCUACGGGUGAAAGCAGGGGAUCUUCGGACCUUGCGCGAUUGAAUGAGCCGAUGUCGGAUUAGCUAGUUGGCGGGGUAAAGGCCCACCAAGGCGACGAUCCGUAGCUGGUCUGAGAGGAUGAGCAGCCAGAAGGGAAGUGAGACACGGUCCAGACUCCUACGGGAGGCAGCAGUGGGGAAUAUUGGACAAUGGGCGCAAGCCUGAUCCAGCCAUACCGAGUGAGUGAAGAGGGCCUUCGGGUUGUAAAGCCCUUUUGUGGGGAAAGAAAGGCAGCAGGUUAAUACCCCGCUGUUCUGACGGUACCCAAAGAAUAAGCACGGGCUAACUUCGUG